UGGACAGCCUGGGUUCCCAGGGCCCAACCCUGCACAGAUUUGUCAGUGUGAUUAUCAUCCCUUAAUUCCAUUAAAGUCAGGUUUGACAAUUGUCAUCCCAGGGGUCUUCAACACCUGAGUGAACCUUGAGGUUUUUGAGGGCAUCAUGGGCAUAGAUAAUGUCUGAGGCUACCCAGCAGAUGCCUGGCCACAGGCAUAGUUCUGGAGAUCUUAGCAAGAGGUCUGUUUACUAACUUGUCAACUCUCUGGGUAUAGUGAGUCAAGGCAGCAGGAAUAUGGACAGGUCCAUCUAGAAACUUUCAUCUGGAAGUCAGUGGGCAGUACUGGAUCCUUCCAUUACAGAUCCUUCUGACUAAA
rnacentral:lncRNA from 1 species